rnacentral:rRNA from 1 species
UACGGAGGGUGCGAGCGUUGUCCGGAAUCAUUGGGCGUAAAGGGCGCGUAGGUGGCGGGACAAGCGUGCGGUGAAAGCUCGGGGCUCAACCCCGGGUCGGCCGUGCGAACUGUUUUGCUUGAGCACUGUAGAGGCAGGCGGAAUUCCGGGUGUAGCGGUGGAAUGCGUAGAGAUCCGGAGGAACACCGGUGGCGAAGGCGGCCUGCUGGGCAGUGGCUGACACUGAGGCGCGACAGCGUGGGGAGCAAACAGG